AUGAGAUUUAAUGGCGUUUUUUUAACGGUGUUUUUUUAAACGUCACUUUUUUUAAUUUUUAACGACGUUUUAUAACCGCCACAUAUUUUUUAAUCAAAACGGCACCGUUUUAUAAUUGAAGGCGUUUAAAACCGCCUCCAAAUGCGGUGGGUACACGCGCUUCUUCCGUGCUCAUUUUGAAACCCUUAUUUUGAUUCUGUGCGAGAGAAACUCUGAAUGUUACAACUCUCUCUCUCUCUCUCUCUCUCUCAACCCUCUCGAAGCUCGAUGAAGCUCCAUCUACACCCGCGAUUUCGAAGCUUCAGAGCGAUUUCGAAGCUCCAUCGCCCCACCAUCUGCUCUCUUUCUCUCUCGAUUUAGAUCUACUAAGCUCCAUUUUUCCAAAUUUCGAGAGACUCAGAGAUUCAGUGAUUUCAGCGCGAUUUCAAUUUCGAAGCUCCAUCGCCACCACCAUCUGCACCUGCGAUUUUCAUUUCACUAAGAAGCUCAGAUCUGAACUCUGACCCCUCGAUUACUCGCAUUUCAAGCCCCAAUGGCCGCGAAUAGUCUACUUUGGUUCUGAACUUUAAUCGUUGCCUGUGAAUUGGAAUUGGUUGAAACCAUCAUUGUGGGAUGGGAUUCUUCAUGCUAAUGUUUGAACUAUAUGUAUGAGUAUGAUUACUUAUGGUUGCAUUGUAGGAACCAUGCAAAUGGCAGUCGGAGUUACAUUUGGUAUGUGUCUGAACUUUUUUUUUUUGUCAAUAUCGUGUUUGUUCCAUAACAUUGCCCUCAUUAGUUUGUUACAGUUAAUUACUUAUAAUUACUUUUGAGUAAU